rnacentral:rRNA from 1 species
UCGAGAAUCUUCGGCAAUGGGCGCAAGCCUGACCGAGCGACGCCGCGUGCGGGAUGAAGGUCUUCGGAUUGUAAACCGCUGUCGGAGGGGAUGAAAUGCCGGGGGGUUCUCCCCCCGGUUUGACAGAGCCUCGGAGGAAGCACGGGCUAAGUUCGUGCCAGCAGCCGCGGUAAUACGAACUGUGCGAACGUUAUUCGGAAUCACUGGGCUUAAAGGGUGCGUAGGCGGCGGCACAAGUCAGGUGUGAAAUCCCCCGGCUCAACCGGGGAACAGCGCUUGAAACUAGGUCGCUCGAGUGAGGCAGGGGUGCAUGGAACUUCCGGUGGAGCGGUGAAAUGUGUAGAGAUCGGAAGGAACGCCGGCGGCGAAAGCGGUGUACUGGGCCUUGUCUGACGCUGAGGCACGAAAGCUAGGGGAGUGAACGGGAUUAGAUACCCCUGUAGUCC